ACGGGAGGCAGCAGUGGGGAAUAUUGCACAAUGGGGGAAACCCUGAUGCAGCGAUGCCGCGUGAGGGAAGAAGGUUUUCGGAUUGUAAACCUCUGUCUUCAGGGACGAUAAUGACGGUACCUGAGGAGGAAGCUCCGGCUAACUACGUGCCAGCAGCCGCGGUAAUACGUAGGGAGCGAGCGUUGUCCGGAAUUACUGGGUGUAAAGGGAGCGUAGGCGGGACUUUAAGUCAGAUGUGAAAUAUAUGGGCUCAACCCAUAGACUGCAUUUGAAACUGAGGUUCUUGAGUGAAGUAGAGGCAGGCGGAAUUCCUAGUGUAGCGGUGAAAUGCGUAGAUAUUAGGAGGAACACCAGUGGCGAAGGCGGCCUGCUGGGCUUUUACUGACGCUGAGGCUCGAAAGCGUGGGGAGCAAACAGGAUUAGAUACCCUGGUA
rnacentral:rRNA from 1 species